UUGCUUCAGCAGCACAUACACUAAAAUCGUAACCAUCCAGAAAGAUUAGCAUGCCCCCCGCCCAACCAAGGAUGACACAUAAAUUUGUGAAGCUUUCCAUUAAAAA
ensembl:snRNA U6 U6 spliceosomal RNA